rnacentral:rRNA from 1 species
GAGUUUGAUCGUGGCUCAGAGUGAACGCUGGCGGUAGGCCUAACACAUGCAAGUCGAACGGUAACAGGUCUUUCGGGAUGCUGACGAGUGGCGGACGGGUGAGGAAUACAUCGGAAUCUGCUCAGUCGUGGGGGAUAACGCAUGGAAACGUGCGCUAAUACCGCAUACGACCUUCGGGUGAAAGCAGGGGAAUCUUUAGGGAUCCUUGCGCGAUUGAAUGAGCCGAUGUCGGAUUAGCUAGUUGGUAGGGUAAAAGCCUACCAAGGCGACGAUCCGUAGCUGGUCUGAGAGGAUGAUCAGCCACACUGGGACUGAGACACGGCCCAGACUCCUGCAGGAGGCAGCAGUGGGGAAUAUUGGACAAUGGGGGCAACCCUGAUCCAGCCAUACCGCGUGGGUGAAGAAGGCCUUCUGGGUUGUAAAGCCCUUUUGUUGGGGAAGAAAAACAACGGGUUAAUACCCCGUUGGUAUGACGGUACCCAAAGAAUAAGCACCGGCUAACUUCGUGCCAGCAGCCGCGGUAAUACGAAGGGUGCAAGCGUUACUCGGAAUUACUGGGCGUAAAGGGUGCGUAGGUGGUUGCGCCAGUCUGUCGUGAAAGCCCUGGGCUUAACCUGGGAAUGGCGAUGGAAACUGUGCAACUAGAGUGUGACAGAGGGUGGUGGAAUUCCUGGUGUAGCAGUGAAAUGCGUGGAGAUCAGGAGGAACAUUCGUGGCGAAGGCGGCCACCUGGGUCAACACUGACACUGAGGCACGAAAGCGUGGGGAGCAAACAGGAUUAGAUACCCUGGUAGUCCACGCCCUAAACGAUGCGAACUGGAUGUUGGGUCCAACUUGGGAUUCAGUAUCGAAGCUAACGCGUUAAGUUCGCCGCCUGGGGAGUACGGUCGCAAGACUGAAACUCAAAGGAAUUGACGGGGGCCCGCACAAGCGGUGGAGUAUGUGGUUUAAUUCGAU